UGGCCAGGCAUGUUCGCAAUAAAAAAAAAUCUUGCUCUCUGGCUCUUUGCCACUGAAUGCAGUUAUCCUUCAGGAGCAGAAAGGCUUAGGCAGGGAUUCAGAUCUCUUUUUUGCAGUCCAUCAUCAAAAGAUUUCACAUGGGGAUGAUUCUGGCCUGAAGAUAUUAGAGUGCUGUUUGCUGUGGAACAGAAGCAAUGUCAAGCAGCUGCUAGGAAAACUUUGCCAUACUUCAUCUCUUGUUGCAUUCAGGGUAUUCUGGUGCAAGCAGAAAAGUCUGAUGCCACUGAAGUCCAUGAUUUCCCUAUGAGCCAUGGGAGCAGGAAGGGAGGAAACCUGUGAAGCAAGGUUGUGCAGCAAGGCACUACAAAAUAGGGUAGAUACAGACUUAAUCCAGAAACCAACAAGCUGAGGAGGAAAGACUCUAUUUUCAAUUUAUCAUCCCAUAAUAACCCAGUCAGAAAGACUCCAAGCCUAGGCUGAGUUACCUCUGGCUUGUGUGUAAUGCAGACAAACUCAUAAAGGUUUGCACCCUUCACAGACCCUAGACCUUCAGCUACGGUAUCACAGGGGAGGGUCUGAGUUAAUCCUUCAAAGAAGAUGAGACAGAUGAGGCUGCUUUCAUCUUUAGUGGUUCCUUCCCCUUCCACAAAUGAAAGCGGAUCUUUAUGUCCACGUGCCUACUCCUGCUCAUUCAGGUCUCCCUUGAAAAUCCAUUUUUCCCACAACAAAUGUGGUGAAUCUGAGAAGCAAUCUCAUAUUAGAUCAGCAUGAACUCUGAUUUCACAGCUCCACAGGUGAAUAUGAACAAAGGUGCUGUGGAUGGCAAACAUAGCUCUGCAUGACGGCUUGUGAGGGCUGGAGAAUGCGGGUUCCUAUGCAAUGCAAAGGUACCAUAGGCAUCAGGAUAACAUCAGCCCAUAGGGCCUGAAGAAGAAAAAGGUUCCCUUUCCACAAAGGAAGGUUUCAUUGCUUAGAGAAUAUCCCAUGACAGUUAAAUACCAGGCUGGAUCAGGACAGUGCUCUCCCAGCACUACAAGACCAGAGACAAGGGUUGUCUGUGCACUUCCACACUAGCCUGCAAGACUGAAGCCUUAUAGUUAGAAAAAGCAUGAUAGAGAAUUCCUAUCUUGAUCUAGAGAAUACCCUUCCCAAGCUUACUAGGGUUGUGACCUGGAACAUUAAAAUGCAAGAAACUCUCCAGCUGCUGACCAUGCAAAGUGGUUGAUAUUGGAUUAAAGAUUCAAGGCUCUCUCCUGUAGCAUACAGGCACCAACUGCAUUGGCUGAAGUGCCCCUCUCUUCUUUAGUGUGCCCAAUACCGGCUACAGCAGCAGGACUGAGACUGUCUUUGUGAUACAAACAAUUUACAACAGCUAAAGAGAAGGAUUCCUCUGAAACCUGAUUGAGACACUUCAACCAGCAUUUUAGAAAGCCUGCCUAGAGGAAGGGCUAUUGACUUAGCAAGACUGACCACAUCAUGAUAGUAGAUGGAGAAUGAGCCAAAAAGCAAACUUACAUGUACAGACCACCUCAAUGCACUUACUUCUUUAGAGAAUAUCCCCUUCUUCUCUUCACUGUGAAGACCCUCCAGCACCCUCCUUCCCUUUCUCCCCUGCACACACUAGCAGCUUACUUUACAUCAGGACACAGCCAGUAAAAUGUGCAUGAUUUUUUUCAUGCCAAGCAGUAUUUCUGUUGUUUGUCUCCAAAUCUUGGUUUUGUUUGGCCACAAAGGGAACUCCAUAAGCAGUUGUGAAGGCUAAGCAUGUGUGCAGGUACAAACACCAAGGUGAAGUUCAGUCCAUAAAUUUAUCUUCCAUGUCAUUGGGAUGGCUACAGUCUGCUUUGACACAGCAUAGCUGAAACCAAUUAUUAGUUUGGAGACAGAAGGCCACUAUCCCAGAAAUAAUCCUUUUAUCAUAUUUUCAGAGUCCGUAAAGCAGUGCAGCAUAAAUUUUCUGACAAAAGAGUGUGUUUUUUCUUCUCAUGAUUCUUGAAUUAUGCAUUUCGGUGUACAAAACUACACAGGUUUGACAAGUCUUACCUGAACAGUAGAAGAGUUUUGAAUCCCAAGAUUAAGGAAGGAUAUGUUCAUGAGACCCUGGCCACAUGGCAGUCUAUAGGAAGAGGUUAAGACCUGUUGGACAUCUUUUGAAAACACUUUCAGUGACCAGUUUCUUUAAGAAGCUCAAGGAAGCAUGAAUUUCAUCAUUCAUGCACAGAGUGGAAGAACACAAUUAAUGGAAAAUCUGUGAAAGUUUCAUUCUCCAUCCAAUGUGGAUCAAAACCAAACACAGUAACAAAAAAUACUUCCAAGAAUUUUAAGUAUGACCUUUUGGCCAGCUUGAGUCAAAUGUAUAAAACAUGAUAGUACAUUUCAGCCCUCACCUCUGACUGUGAAAGUCAGGUUUUCAGAGAAUACAGUCAGUCUUAUUAAUCUGGUGCUCAAAGAUGUUAUCUAAUCAAAAGCUGGGAUCAGGAAGAAAUCUUCAGCUGACAUUAAAAUGUUAAAUGCAAUGGACUGAAUCCGAUUAUUAUUGCUAUUGCAAUUGCUAAUAUAUGAGAUGGGGCUGGAGGGUCUGAUUACCAAGAUAAACAAGUGCCAUCAGUGCCACUGGAGACAGAGACUAAUUGAAGCUUUGGACUUGUUCUGCUCUGCAGUGCCAGGUCAGACUCCCCUUCCACCUCAGACCUGCUGAUAUCUGGGAAUCCAGAAAGCUCCCACAGGGUCAGAGAAUCCCUGUCCCAGUGAUAGUGUCUGGGUGCUCUCACGCAUCACAAAGGCUACAAACCUGCAUGGUUGCCCAACUGUUUUGCUAACCUCCACGUUCCAUGGGAUACUUCCUUCUUUUGGUACCCGUAAAAUUGAAAGCUCAGAGAUUUAUGAUCCCAGGUUCCAUCUCACAUGGAGGCUGCUGUCAAGGAGGAAGAGAGCCAGAAGCCAAUAUUGGAUUUGGUGAUAACCCACCUGCUCUCCUGAUCACACGUAUCCACGCUGGACUCCAGCCAACAGGAUGCUGCCAAAUGUAAUAGAUGAUUACAUGACAUUA